UACGGAGGGUGCAAACGUUGCUCGGAAUCAUUGGGCGUAAAGCGCACGUAGGUGGCUUGUUAAGUCGGGUGUGAAAUCCCUGGGCUCAACCCAGGAAGUGCACUCGAAACUGGCGAGCUUGAGUACUGAAGAGGGUCGCGGAAUUCCCGGUGUAGAGGUGAAAUUCGUAGAUAUCGGGAGGAACACCAGUGGCGAAGGCGGCGACCUGGGCAGAUACUGACGCUGAGGCGCGAAAGCGUGGGGAGCAAACAGG
rnacentral:rRNA from 1 species